rnacentral:rRNA from 1 species
GACGAACGCUGGCGGCGUGCUUAACACAUGCAAGUCGAACGGAAAGGCCCUGCUUUUGUGGGGUGCUCGAGUGGCGAACGGGUGAGUAACACGUGAGUAACCUGCCCUUGACUUUGGGAUAACUUCAGGAAACUGGGGCUAAUACCGGAUAGGAGCUCCUGCUGCAUGGCGGGGGUUGGAAAGUUUCGGCGGUUGGGGAUGGACUCGCGGCUUAUCAGCUUGUUGGUGGGGUAGUGGCUUACCAAGGCUUUGACGGGUAGCCGGCCUGAGAGGGUGACCGGCCACAUUGGGACUGAGAUACGGCCCAGACUCCUACGGGAGGCAGCAGUGGGGAAUAUUGCACAAUGGGCGGAAGCCUGAUGCAGCAACGCCGCGUGCGGGAUGACGGCCUUCGGGUUGUAAACCGCUUUCGCCUGGGACGAAGCGUGAGUGACGGUAAUGGGUAAAGAAGCACCGGCUAACUACGUG